rnacentral:rRNA from 1 species
CUUGGUGACAUGAGCGAUUGGGUCACACCCGUUCCCAUCCCGAACACGGAAGUUAAGCCAAUCAGCGCCGAUGAUAGCAGCAAUGCAAAAGUAGGCCGUCGCCAGGA